UACGUAGGGCGCAAGCGUUGUCCGGAAUUAUUGGGCGUAAAGAGCUCGUAGGCGGUUUGUCGCGUCUGCUGUGAAAACCUGAGGCUCAACCUCGGGCUUGCAGUGGGUACGGGCAGACUAGAGUGCGGUAGGGGUGACUGGAAUUCCUGGUGUAGCGGUGAAAUGCGCAGAUAUCAGGAGGAACACCGAUGGCGAAGGCGGGUCUCUGGGCCAUUACUGACGCUGGAGG
rnacentral:rRNA from 1 species